GUUGGCAAGUGAAGAGUCCUGCUUGGGCUCAGAGCGCCGGCAACGCUGCCUCCUCCUCCUCUUGCUCCUUCAGUAUUGGGACCUUGAGAGUUGCAAGGAUCUGGCCAACUUUAGGACCAGCCUGGGGUCCCCGCUGCCCCAGGCCGGCUGGACUGCCAUUCCUAGCACUCCUGAGGGCCUUUGAGCACCCUCUGGGAGGUCCAAGUUUCCCCUCCAUGUUGCAGAAGCUUGCAGUGCAGGACUGUCCUGCGGCAAAACCGUGUCAGCAGAGGCAACCCAGAUUUGAUCCUGCGCCAUUGCGAAAGUGACGAGGAAGACCUGCCCGGCCGAACGGCAGCGUCCCAUCGUCUCCUGAGGCGGAGGAGCAGCAUCUCAUAACUGGGACCCACCGGUUGGACUGCAGCUGGAGCUGCAGCGGCUGAGAACCUAGCUCAUGGGAUGAGCUGCUUGCCUUCCACACGGCGUCAACCUGGAACCCAAAGCUUCCUGGAGGACGAGGCCCUGGAAGGAGAUACCCAGGACGGGGGGAGCCUUGGCCCAGCCCAGAUGUUCUUGCAGGAAAGGGGAAGAUGGAGGAGUGCCGCCAUUCUCUUCGGGGCAGGGCCACCUGGCCACCAGGCUACCAUCCUCUCUUUUCCAGCAGCAAGCAGAUAAUCUCUGGAUGAGGCUGCAAACAACUUGGUCAAGGCAGUGACACUCUGGUGACCUUGUUUCACCCCAAACGUGUUUCUCAAGCUUGGCAACUUCAAGAUGUGUGGACUUCAGCUCCCAGAAUCCUCCAGCCAGCAUCCUGAAAUUGCCAAAGUUGAUAAGCACCAAGACAGAAAGAUGCAGCGAAGGUGGUGCUGAGAGGCCAGUCUCUCAUAGGUUGCCUCUGAAAAUACCUUCCACAGAAAGCAGUAUGGCGCUGAGAAAUAACAGGCACACCCAUGUGUGUUUGGCUCUUAUGCUGAUGCUGUUUUUAAGAAAGGGCAAGAGGCACAUACAAACAACGUGAGCAUCAAGCUGGACUUCUGGAGAGCCUGUCUAAAGCCAGUAAAAAAGUCACAGCGGCUGGGCCGGGAGAGAAGCCUUGGCCUCAGCCAGCCUCUGAGCAUGCUGGGCUCAGCAGGGUUUCCCUUGCACCGAUUCUCCCCAUCACUGGCGACAUGGGGCUAGUUGGGCAACUCUCCCAACCAAGCUGUGUAUUUUUUUUCACGCACGUGCAGCAUCUUCUCAGGGAAUUCAUGGCAGUUACCUGGUUUCAUUUUCUUUUUACCUUUUAAAGAGAUGAGGAUGUCCAUGCGAUCGCUCAGGUUCCCGUUUGCCAGUAGCCAGAAGGCUAAAAAUACACAUGGUGCAAUGUUGGGCAUAGAGGAAGCAAGCAAGGAAGCUCAGCUGUGCUCCCUUGGCUGGGUGACCAGGCAAAAGGCUGCAGCCAAGCAGGCUGAAUACCCUUUGAGCAACCCCCCAGGGAGUUCAGGCCUUUCCAUAACCAUAGUUAGCUUCAUGCUGCAAAUCUUCCCCACGUUGGUUUCAUUCUUGAUUGCUUGUGUGUAUAUCCUGUGUCUCCCCCUAACAAGGUGGAUUCUCCCAAAAUAAAAGUUACAUAUGAGGUA